rnacentral:misc_RNA from 1 species
AAGUCGUAACAAGGUCUCCGUAGGUGAACCUGCGGAGGGAUCAUUACCGAGUGAGGCAGCAAUGCCGACCUCCAACCCUUUUGUUAUCCGACCAUGUUGCCUCGGGGGUGACCCGGACGUCUCGCGGCGUUGGGUGCCCCCGGUGGACCACAACCAAACUCUUGCAUCUCUGCGUCUGAGUAAAUUUUGAAUCAAAUCAAAACUUUCAACAACGGAUCUCUUGGUUCUG